GGCCCGGUAGCUCAGUGGGUAGAACAUCUGUCUAAAAAAUCAGAAGGACCGGGGUUCGAUUCCCCGGCUGGGUGA